rnacentral:tRNA from 1 species
AAUGAAAUGGCUGAGAUUGAUAAAUAGGCAUUAGAUUGUAAAUCUAAUUACGGGGAGGAGACCUCUUUCAUUA